CAUACACCUGUUGCGGACAGAUCAGGUGGAUGUGCGAGUCGAAGCCGCCCGCCGUGAUAAUGCUGCCUUCGGCUGCGAUCACGUCCGUGCCGCUGCCCACGAUCAUGUUGGGAUGCACCCCGUCCAUCACGUCCGGGUUGCCAGCCUUGCCGAUGGCCGAGAUGAACCCGUGCUUGAUGCCAAUGUCCGCCUUGUAAAUGCCGGUCCAGUCGAUGAUGAGCGCGUUGGUGAUGACCGUGUCCAAUACCUCCGAGUCGGGGCGACCCGAUGCCUGACCCAUUCCUUCACGAAG
rnacentral:sRNA from 1 species